GGGCCCGCACAAGCGGUGGAGCAUGUGGUUUAAUUCGAUGAUACGCGAGGAACCUUACCAGGGCUUAAAUGUAGUGGGACAGGUCUAGAGAUAGACCCUUCUUCGGACUCAUUACAAGGUGCUGCAUGGUUGUCGUCAGCUCGUGCCGUGAGGUGUCAGGUUAAGUCCUAUAACGAGCGCAACCCCUAUCGUUAGUUGCCAGCGGGUAAUGCCGGGAACUCUAGCGAAACUGCCGGUGCAAACCGAGAGGAAGGUGGGGAUGACGUCAAAUCAUCACGGCCCUUACGUCCUGGGCUACACACGUGCUACAAUGGCCGGUACAGAGAGCAGCCACUACGCGAGUAGGAGCGAAUCUAUAAAACCGAUCUCAGUUCGGAUCGGGGUCUGCAACUCGACCCCGUGAAGCUGGAAUCGCUAGUAAUCG
rnacentral:rRNA from 1 species